CCUACGGGGGGCUGCAGUGGGGAAUAUUGGACAAUGGGGGCAACCCUGAUCCAGCCAUGCCGCGUGUGUGAAGAAGGCCCUCGGGUUGUAAAGCACUUUCAGUGAGGAAGAACGCCUGGUGGUUAAUACCCAUCAGGAAAGACAUCACUCACAGAAGAAGCACCGGCUAACUCCGUGCCAGCAGCCGCGGUAAUACGGAGGGUGCGAGCGUUAAUCGGAAUUACUGGGCGUAAAGCGCGCGUAGGUGGCUUGAUAAGCCGGUUGUGAAAGCCCCGGGCUCAAACUGGGAACGGCAUCCGGAACUGUCAAGCUAGAGUGCAGGAGAGGAAGGUAGAAUUCCGGGUGUAGCGGUGAAAUGCGUAGAGAUCGGGAGGAAUACCAGUGGCGAAGGCGGCCUUCUGGACUGACACUGACACUGAGGUGCGAAAGCGUGGGUAGCAAACAGGAUUAGAUACCCUUGUAGUC
rnacentral:rRNA from 1 species